GUCUACGGCCAUACCACCCUGAACACGCCCAAUCUCAUCUGAUCUCAGAAGCUAAGCAGGGUCGGGUCUGGUUAGUACUUGGAUGGGAGAAAGGUCAGUGCAGUGUAGCUC
ensembl:rRNA 5S_rRNA 5S ribosomal RNA